rnacentral:lncRNA from 1 species
GUCCGUUCAACCCAGCUCGGGCGUCACCGUCACUGAGGUGCCUAAAUCCUGAAGCUUUCUACACAUUGGGUAAUACUGGAAUUUGGAGGAUACUACUUAGACAGCUGGAUAUGUAAGUUGGAGAAGGAGUGCAGUAAGUAAAAAUGUACCUGUUAUUUCAAGGCAGAAUGAAAGAAUAUGCAUGGCUUGGUUAAACUCUCCCUCUCUAAAUUACAAACCAAACCCCACAAAUCUCUUCCACUAAGGAAAAGGAACAUUUCAUGGUCAGGGUGAUAACUGCUGUGUAGAAGUUUCAACCAGGGAUAUGCAUCAAGUUAGACACAAAUACAGCCACAUGUACCUUACCUACCAUAGACUGAGCUCAAAUCUCCAGGGGCAGACCCUGGGCAAGGCAUGUUUCUAAAAUGUAUCCCAGGGAAGUGUGAUGUGCAGAUCUGGUUAAAAGGCUCUCCUGCUGCUCUUACACAAAGAAGUGCCAAGAGAGAAAAGUCAGAACAGAAAAACCGAGCAGUGGGUCCAUCCUCUGUAAACUUGGCACCUCCACCCCUUGUAGCACUUGAAGUCACUGAGAAGACAGAGACAUGCCUUAAACACUGGCUCCAUCACAUUGAAGCUGGUUGGUCUUGGGCAUGUUACUUAACCUUUUUGUGCCUCAGUUUCCUCAUCUAGUAAAUAGGAGGUAAUGAGAUCUACUUUGCAGAGCUGUAUUGAGGACUGAAUGAGAUUAAGACAUGUGGAAUGCUUAGAGCAGUGCCUGCCAUGUCAUGAGACUCGACAAAUACUGCUUUGGUAUCAACAGCGAGGAGAAUCACCCUCAUCAGACUGUGCAACAGCAUACUCUCCAGAACUGCACAUAUCCAAGGCAGAGCCCCAGAUGCUGCCGCUUCCAUAACAUCAGAGUGAAAGCAAAGCAAAACAAAACUGACUUUCUCCACAAAGAGAGAAGGUACAUUUCAGAUGACGACGUCUUUCUGUUUAAUCCCAUGGAGGCACAUGUCUUUCCAAAUUACAUUAUACUUGGUAGGGGUCUGUAGUGGGUUGAAUAGUGACCCCAAAAGAUGUAAGUCCUAAUCCCUGGAACCUGUGACUGUGACUUUAUUUGGAAAUAGGGUCUUUGUAGAUGUAACUAAGGGUCUCAAGAUGAAAUCAUCCUGGAUUUAGAGUGUACCUUAAAUCCAAUGACAAAUGUCCUUACAAAACACAGAAAAAGAGAAGACGUAAGGACACAGAGAAGAAGGCCACCAUGUGAAGAUGGAUGUAGAGACUGGAGUGACAUAGUCAUAAGCCAAGGAAUGCCAAGGGCCAUCAGAUGCUGGAUGAGAGCAUCGCCUUGUUGAUACCUUGAUUCUGGUCUUCUGGCUUUCAGAACUGUGAGGAUAAAGCUCUGUGUUCUGAGCCACCCAGUUUGUGGCAAUUGUUACAGCAGCCACAGGAAGUGCAUCCAAGGACCAUGAGAUCUGUGGUUCUGGCUGCUGGUGCUUUUAUGGCAUUAUUUUAAUGCACCCUUGUAUUAAAACAGCUAUGUUAAUGUACUGUAUUAAUGUACUUAAAAAAUUUUUAAAUAAAAAGAUUGACAUCUACUCUAUACCAACCAUUUAUUCUGGCCAAUCCCUUGUAUUCUGGAGUUCCACUACCUUUCUUUCUAUUCAAUGGCACAAAAGGUUAUUUAAGACACUUUAAACUUUUAUAAAAAGAAGAAUCCAUAGCCACCUUGUUUGGGGGCCAGCUUGUCAGGGGCUCUCCUCUCCAGAUGAUUAGAGAAAAGCCCCACACCCAGUUACGCCACAGCCCUUACCCAGGGACAGACGCCACUUUCUGUCUUCCAACCACCUCUCGGAACUCAGCCUAGCUAGGCAGAGGGCAGUUAUGGCUUCUCAUUUCACUCUCUUGAUCUCCAAAGACUUGUAUACUCUAUCUGGUUCACAAAUAAUUGAUUCUUUAGGAGUGUUUUUGACUAUGUAUAUAUUCUAUGACCUAGGAAUCUAUAUUCCUUCAAAGCAGCAAGUAGUGCAGGAUGACGAAAUGCUAGCUUACUUUUUCAUUUUCAGCAGCACAAGCUCAUUCUUCGUAUCAUGAAUCAUGGACAUUUUUUUCCUGGCCUCCAAAAUUAACCCAGAGCAGACAGAAUCUUCACUGUUUGUAUCAUGUGAUCCAAAUAUUUUUGGGAGAGCAAAAUACCUGAACACUACUGCUUAGCCAUACAAACCAAAGCAACUAUGGCGUAGACAAUGAGCUUUCUAUUUCACUCAGUUAAAUUCUGCUUAUCCUUCAAAACUCAACUCCGCAUCCCCUCAUCUAGGAGGUGAAAUACUGGAUUUCACAUAUUCUGAAUGCUGCUUCUCUACGCCCACUGCACUUGGCGUAUAAGCGUGGCACUGGAAGUGGACCUGCUCCCCUAGCCUUCAUCAUACUGCGCUCCCUCUGAAGGCACAGGAACAAGCUUUUCAACCCUCAGCCAAUGCCUAGCAUAUGCAGGAGCUUCAAUUUUGACUGAAUAAUAACUACAGGAGGGAAUUUUUUUUUAAAAAAAGAACACUUAUUUCACUUUAAUGGGAAUUUAUCACUUACAUGAGUAUACUGUGUGACAACUCACAAUUCCUCAAGUGCAAUCAAGAACGGCUAAGCGGCAGCUUGAUUAGUUUCCAAAUCCAGUGCCCUGCUCACCUCCUCUCACGUGCAGUUCAACAGCCUGGGACUUCUCUGUAAAUGUUCUAGUUGCUAUCUAGGGCACCAAAACAUGACACAAGAAUACAAAUGCACACCAAUAGCUUCCUGGAGAGAGAAAGUAAGUAUAUGGGGUUGGAAGUCUUUUCUUUCAACUAGAUUAGUGUCACCAAAUCUGAUUUAUAUGCACAAGGAUGUAUAUAGAGCUGUCAACAGGGAUUGGAAAGCAAAAUUUUACCUAAAACAACUAAAAGACAUCCCAAUCCACUCUUAAUUAUCCCUGACAGUUGGGGUGGCAGGUACUUGUAUUCGGAAAUCACUUGUAAGAGUUCUUUCUGUGGCCUAUGAUAUCUCCUAACUUAACUUCUUGUUAGAAUUGCUAACAAGUUGACCAAUUAAUGGUUUUAAGCUUAACAUUCUUUCAUUUUACUCUGCUUGCUGCUGAUGAAAAGGGCAAUAGUAUUAAAGAAAAAGGCUCUUGAUACCUGGGUAAUUAUCCCUUAUGCUGGAUAAUGCAAAACAUAUUAAACUACUUUUCUCAUAUCGAAAGCUAGGAUUUAUUCAUUUCCAAACCAUUCACAAAGCACAUAAUGUGUGCCAGGCACUGUGCUGGGGAUAUGAACAGGGACAAGCUCCUGUCCUCACAGUCUUCCCAGGAAAGCGGGGGACACAAGAUAGCAAAUAUAAUUGGGAUCAAGUCUAAGCAAGCGGUAGUGGAAAUAGUAAAUCAUUUACUGGAUAUGGGAAGUUUUCUCUGAAAAGCAAUUUUAGCAGAUAAACAAUCUCUAGCUCAUUGUUAUAUCAGUUUCAAUAACUAAAUCUUAAUUAUUUCACUUGAUCUUCUCAAACUUUAAUGUGCCUGCAAAUCACCUGAGGAUUUUUAAUAAUAAAAUAUAGAAAUUCUUCUCACAAGGAUGAGCUCCUUGGCUGCCGCCUUUCUCAUUUCCUUUAAAUUCCUGCACGGCAGUGACUGGGGAGAGGUGAAAAAACCUGAGGGUAUCUGAGUAACAACUGAUUAUUAUUGACUUCAUGUCAUCAAUAUUAAUUAUUGAUUUCAUGUUCUAUUUCAUGAACUGAUGACAUGAAAUCAAUAAAAAUCACCCCAGACAAGUACACAUGCAGAAUAUUAAGUUGCAGAUACAUUACGAUAACCAGUACACAGAGCAAAGAACACACAGAAACAUGAAACAUGUUAGGAUUUCCCCCCUUUUCUUUCAAUUUGUCUUUACCAUGUGGUUCUAUGCGUCUGUAAUGAGAAUUCUGUUACGGGAAACCUACACAUGAGUAUCCCACAUCUGAAGUGCCUGGGACCAGAAGUGGUCUGAAUUUCCUAUUUUUUUGAUUUUAGAAUAUUUGCAUUAUAUACUUACCAGAUGAGCACCCAAAAUCCAGAAAUCUGAAGUGCUCCAAUAAGCAUUUCCUUUCACAGCAUCAUGAAGGUGCUCAAAAAGCUUUAGAUUUGGGAGCAUUUUGGAUUUCAGAUUUGGGAUACUCAACCUGUACUACAUAUGAGGAGCUGGCAGCCCCCUUAGGCUCUGACAAAUGCCCACCACAUAAAGCACUUCUGAGUAUGAGUCCAUGUGGCUGAUACCACAGGUUCCACACACUGCUUGUGGCCACAGAUGUAAUGGCUAUCCCCAUCACAACGGUAUUCCAAAACAAGGCCACUCUGUCCUACCCAGUGGUCCACGGGCCAAAUGUUUCAAUGCUUUCAUUAGACACAGCAGAAUUCUCCCUCCAUCUCAGACAGGAGCAAAUGGGGCCAGACACAUAGGGAGAGCCUGGUGAAACCUAAACCCUGAGCCUAAACUAUGCCUUGUACUUUAAUCCUCACAGAAAAGUGGCUCCAGAACUUGGCCUCAGGGCAGGCACGAGCAGCUGCAGAGUCCACAGCAGGAGGAGGUGGGCAAUAGCCUCUCAUCACACCAGAUUAUGUUCCAUGGCAGUAUUUCAGCCAACGUAUGAACAAAUACCAUCUGAAGAAUAUGUUCUAAUAUUAAAAAAAAGGAAAACCCCUGACCCAAGAAAUCAAAUUAUCUAUGAUAUACACUUGGUGCAUUAACGAGCUCAUGUGGUACUCAUGAUGCAGAAAUAGGUCACUAAAAGGAUAGGGACAGCCUAUAAUGUCAUAUUCAGUUAACAUUCCUUUACUUUCAUGAAACUGAGUUUCAACUACACAAAAAGGAUUACAUAAUUUUAAGGUUACAAGUUAAUUUUUACUUGAUUUUUUUUUUUUAACAAAAUGCUAAACUGCAGGUUAAAAAGAAAUUGAAACAUGAGUACAAUGCUCAAAAGAGUUGUAUGGUAAGUCUAGAAAGUAUUUAUCUAUCUAUUUGUUCUAUUCAAUGAGGGACAUAAAGCCUUUCAAAUCAUCAAUAAGGCUUCCCAUAGAAGCCUAAGCACAAAAGCAAACACCCAAGAACCAAAACAACAAAGCAAAGUUAAAGCUUGAAGAAUUAUAGAAACACAUAUUAGAGGCUGGAAAAUGCAUCUUCAAGUGUGCAGGGAUAACUUUGUUAGGUAUAAUCGAACAUUUCCCUCCUCUUUUAUUUUCAUUACGGGCGGAUCAACAUUUCUUCUCUGUCCCCACCCUCUCCUCACUGACGCCCGGCCCUUUCUGGCCCCCUGCCAGGAGACUCUCUGGGAGGUGUGUGCCCCCAGGACGCUGCACACUGUCAACUUACUCUGAGCUGCUGUUGCUGCUGUGGCUCAGAGGGUCAGUG